rnacentral:rRNA from 1 species
AUUGAACGCUGGCGGCAGGCCUAACACAUGCAAGUCGAGCGAGCGGCGGACGGGUGAGUAAUGUCUGGGAAACUGCCUGAUGGAGGGGGGUAACUACUGGAAACGGUAGCUAAUACCGCAUACCAUCGGAUGUGCCGAGAUGGGGUUUGCUAGUAGGUGGGGUAAAGGCUCACCUAGGCGACGAUCCCUAGCUGGGCUGAGAGGAUGACCAGCCACACUGGAACUGAGACACGGCCCAGACGCCUACGGGAGGCAGCAGUGGGGAAUGUUGCACAUGGGGCGCAAGCCUGAUGCAGCCAUGCCGCGGUUAUGAAGAAGGCCUUCGGGUUGUAAAGUACUUUCAGCGGGGAGGCGUUACCCGCAGAAGAAGCACCGGCUAACUCCGUGCCAGCAGCCGCGGUAAUAC